ACGAACGCUGGCGGCGUGCUUAACACCUGCAAGUCGAACGGAAAGGCCCUGCUUGCCGGGUACUCGAGUGGCGAACGGGUGAGUAACACGUGGGUGAUCUGCCCUGCACUUCGGGAUAAGCCUGGGAAACUGGGUCUAAUACCGGAUAGGAGCCAUUUUUAGUGUGAUGGUUGGAAAGUUUUUUCGGUGUAGGAUGAGCUCGCGGCCUAUCAGCUUGUUGGUGGGGUAAUGGCCUACCAAGGCGGCGACGGGUAGCCGGCCUGAGAGGGUGGACGGCCACAUUGGGACUGAGAUACGGCCCAGACUCCUACGGGAGGCAGCAGUGGGGAAUAUUGCACAAUGGGCGCAAGCCUGAUGCAGCGACGCCGCGUGGGGGAUGACGGCCUUCGGGUUGUAAACUCCUUUCGCUAGGGACGAAGCUUUUUGUGACGGUACCGAGAUAAGAAGCACCGGCUAACUACGG
rnacentral:rRNA from 1 species